rnacentral:tRNA from 1 species
UAAUAUGAUAAAAUUUAAUUUCGACCUAAAUAAUGAUUAAAUAAAAUUAAUCCAUAUU